rnacentral:rRNA from 1 species
GACGAACGCUGGCGGCGUGCUUAACACAUGCAAGUCGAACGGAAAGGCCCUGCUUUUGUGGGGUGCUCGAGUGGCGAACGGGUGAGUAACACGUGAGUAACCUGCCCUUGACUUUGGGAUAACUUCAGGAAACUGGGGCUAAUACCGGAUAGGAGCUCCUGCUGCAUGGUGGGGGUUGGAAAGUUUCGGCGGUUGGGGAUGGACUCGCGGCUUAUCAGCUUGUUGGUGGGGUAGUGGCUUACCAAGGCUUUGACGGGUAGCCGGCCUGAGAGGGUGACCGGCCACAUUGGGACUGAGAUACGGCCCAGACUCCUACGGGAGGCAGCAGUGGAGAAUAUUGCACAAUGAGCGGAAGCCUGAUGCAGCAACGCCGCGUGCGGGAUGACGGCCUUCGGGUUGUAAACCGCUUUCGCCUGUGACGAAGCGUGAGUGACGGUAAUGGGUAAAGAAGCACCGGCUAACUACGUG